rnacentral:rRNA from 1 species
UAGGGAAUCUUCCACAAUGGACGCAAGUCUGAUGGAGCAACGCCGCGUGAGUGAAGAAGGUUUUCGGACCGUAAAGCUCUGUUGUUGGUGAAGAAGGAUAGAGGUAGUAACUGGCCUUUAUUUGACGGUAAUCAACCAGAAAGUCACGGCUAACUACGUGCCAGCAGCCGCGGUAAUACGUAGGUGGCAAGCGUUGUCCGGAUUUAUUGGGCGUAAAGCGAGCGCAGGCGGAAGAAUAAGUCUGAUGUGAAAGCCCUCGGCUUAACCGAGGAAUUGCAUCGGAAACUGUUUUCUUGAGUGCAGAAGAGGAGAGUAGAACUCCAUGUGUAGCGGUGGAAUGCGUAGAUAUAUGGAAGAAUACCAGUGGCGAAGGCGGCUCUCUGGUCUGCAACUGACGCUGAGGCUCGAAAGCAUGGGUAGCGAACAGGAUUAGAUACCCUGGUAGUCCAUGCCGUAAACGAUGAGUGCUAAGUGUUGGGAGGCUUCCGCCUCUCAGUGCUGCAGCUAACGCAUUAAGCACUCCGCCUGGGGGAGUACGACCGCAAGGUUGAAACUUAAAUGAAUUGACGGGGGUCAUAGCUGUUUCCUG